UAACCCUUUGUUGUCCGACUCUGUUGCCUCCGGGGCGACCCUGCCUUCGGGCGGGGGCUCCGGGUGGACACUUCAAACUCUUGCGUAACUUUGCAGUCUGAGUAAACUUAAUUAAUAAAUUAAAACUUUUAACAACGGAUCUCUUGGUUCUGGCAUCGAUGAAGAACGCAGCGAAAUGCGAUAAGUAAUGUGAAUUGCAGAAUUCAGUGAAUCAUCGAAUCUUUGAACGCACAUUGCGCCCCCUGGUAUUCCGGGGGGCAUGCCUGUUCGAGCGUCAUUUCACCACUCAAGCCUCGCUUGGUAUUGGGCAACGCGGUCCGCCGCGUGCCUCAAAUCGUCCGGCUGGGUCUUCUGUCCCCUAAGCGUUGUGGAAACUAUUCGCUAAAGGGUGUUCGGGAGGCUACGCCGUAAAACAACCCCAUUUCUAAGGUUGACCUCGGAUCAGGUAGGGAUACCCGCUGAACUUAAGCAUAUCAAU
rnacentral:rRNA from 1 species